rnacentral:rRNA from 1 species
GUCUUCUUGUUAUGUUUAGGAAGUCUGGCCUGCCCAGUGAAAAUAAAUUAACGGCCGCGGUAUACUGGCCGUGCAAAGGUAGCAUAAUCAUUAGUCUUUUAAUAGAGGGCUGGUAUGAAGGGUUUAACGAGGUGUUGACUGUCUCAUUUAAUUUGAAUUUAGAAUUUAAUUUUUUAGUUAAAAAGCUAAAAUUUUAUUGGAAGACGAGAAGACCCUAUAGAGCUUUAUAUUUUUACUAUUAAUUUAUUAUAGAUUAUUAUUAUUUAUUAUUGGUAUAAAAUAUUUUGUUGGGGUGACAAAAAUAUAUAAAUAACUUUUUUAUUUCAUUUACAUUGAUAUAUGAAUAUUAGAUCCAAUCUUAUUGAUUGUUAGAUUAAGUUACCUUAGGGAUAACAGCGUAAUCCCUCUCCAGAGUUCAUAUUUACAGAGGGGCUUGCGACCUCGAUGUUGGAUUAAGAUAAUAAUUAGGUGUAGCCGCUUAAUUAAUAGGUCUGUUCGACCUUUAAAUUCUU